rnacentral:tRNA from 1 species
GGAACCGUGCCCGAAUAUUAGGGGCCACUUUGAUAGAGUGAAAUAUAGGGGUUUGAACCCCCUCGGUUCUU